rnacentral:rRNA from 1 species
GUAUGGUGCAAGCGUUAUCCGGAUUUACUGGGUGUAAAGGGAGCGUAGACGGCUGUGUAAGUGUGAAGUGAAAGCCCGGGGUUCAACCCCGGGAUUGCUUUGGAAAUUAUGCAGCUAGAGUGUCGGAGAGGUAAGUGGAAUUCCCAGUGUAGCGGUGAAAUGCGUAGAUAUUGGGAGGAACACCAGUGGGGAAGGCGGCUUAUUGGACGAUGUUUGACGUUGAGGCUGGAAAGUGUGGGGAGCAAACAGGAUUAGAUACCCUGGUAUUCCACGCGGUAAACGAUGACUAAUAGGUGUGGGGGAGCAAAGCUCUUCGGUGCCGCAGCAAACGCAAUAAGUAGUCCGCCUGGGGAGUACGUUCGCAAGAAUG